rnacentral:lncRNA from 1 species
GUUAUUUAAAUAAAAAUAAAUUUACACAAAAAUACUAUGAAAAAUUCUGAAAUUGCUGAAGAAACGAAAGCAGAAAGUGUUCGAUCUGGAAGCGAAGUACUAUCUUAAGACGUAUUCCCGUCCUUCAUAGGAAAUUAACGUCUUGCGAGCACGAUCGUGAUAGAGAUUGUCGAAAAUUCUUUCAACAUCCGACGAUAAAAAGAUUAAUUAGAGAGAGUUAAUAGAGAGAGAGAGAGGGACAGAGAAAAGCUUGUUUAUAUUUUUUUUUAUCCUUUUAUAUUCGUAGGGAACAUUCGACUUCACGGUCUUCUUUCGCAAAGUAGUAAUAGAUAGUUUUUUUUUUUUUUUUAGAGAUAGGUAGCAUGCUACCCGUUUCGUUUAUUUUAUUUAGAAAUAAACUUAACUGGAAAUGUGAAUCAACUAGAAUUCGAACUUGGAACUUAACUGGAAAUGUGAAUCAACUAGGAUUCGAACUUGGGUCUCGGGUAUCAACCGCAAAGCCCUUUGUCAUUUGCUCUUGGGACGGUCGGUAAGUAGUAAUAGAUAAUUAAUAAAUGUAUAAGCAGAAGAAUAACUUAAUAAAUCAAUAAAUAAAUAAGUAAAACCUAGUCAUUAUCUUCCUAUCAAGCAAAUAGAGGCGAAAAUUAAAAUAACUUUUACAUUAGCUUUAAUUCAGUUGAUAGUUAUUUUGAAACUGAAAUUCAACGUCGGACAAAAAAAUAUACCAUAAAUAGAAAACAAAUAAGCAAAAUAGAGCAAAAAAAAUGUACAUAAAUAUUUCUUCUUUUUUUUGAGAGAGAGAUAGGUAGCACGCUACUCGCUUCGUUUAUUUCAUUUAGAAAUAAACUUAAUUAGCUGAAAAUGUGAAUCAACUAAAAUUCGAACUUAGGUCUCAGGUACCAACCACCAAACCUUUUGCCACUUGCUCUAGGAACAGUCGGUUACAUAAGUGUUUCUUAGUAAAAACAUAUAGAAG